rnacentral:rRNA from 1 species
GACAGAGGGUGCAAACGUUGUCCGGAAUUACUGGGCGUAAAGAGCUCGUAGGUGGUUUGUCGCGUUGUCCGUGAAAACUCACAACUCAAUUGUGGGCGUGCGGGCGAUACGGGCAGACUGGAGUACUGCAGGGGAGACUGGAAUUCCUGGUGUAGCGGUGAAAUGCGCAGAUAUCAGGAGGAACACCGGUGGCGAAGGCGGGUCUCUGGGCCGAUACUGACGCUGAGGAGCGAAAGCGUGGGGAGCGAACAGG